rnacentral:rRNA from 1 species
CCUACGGUGGGCAGCAGUGGGGAAUAUUGCACAAUGGGGGAAACCCUGAUGCAGCGACGCCGCGUGAGUGAAGAAGUAAUUCGUUAUGUAAAGCUCUAUCAGCAGGGAAGAAAAUGACGGUACCUGAGUAAGAAGCCCCGGCUAACUACGUGCCAGCAGCCGCGGUAAUACGUAGGGGGCAAGCGUUAUCCGGAUUUCCUGGGUGUAAAGGGAGCGUAGACGGCGGUGCAAGUCUGAGGUGAAAGGCGGGGGCUCAACCCCCGGCCUGCUCUGGAAACUGUACGGCUGGGGGGAGGGGGGGGAAGUGGAAAUGCCAGGGGUAGGGGGAAAUGCGUAGAUAUUAGGAGGAACACCAGUGGCGAAGGCGGCUUACUGGACUGUAACUGACGUUGAGGCUCGAAAGCGUGGGGAGCAAACAGGAUUAGAUACCCUUGUAGUC